GGAUUAGAUACCCUGGUAGUCCACGCCGUAAACGAUGGAUACUUGUUGUUGGAGGUAUUGACCCCUUCAGUGACGCAGCUAACGCGGUAAGUAUCCCGCCUGGGGAGUACGGUCGCAAGAUUAAAACUCAAAGAAAUUGACGGGGGCCCGCACAAGCGGUGGAGUAUGUGGUUUAAUUCGAUGCAACGCGCAAAACCUUACCUGGGCUUGACAUGAACUGGAAGAGUGGCAGAGAUGUCCUCGCUCGCAAGAGUCGGUUCACAGGUGCUGCAUGGCUGUCGUCAGCUCGUGCCG
rnacentral:rRNA from 1 species